UACGAAGGGGGCUAGCGUUGUUCGGAAUUACUGGGCGUAAAGCGAGCGUAGGUUGUGCCGCAAGUCAGUGGUGAAAUCCCAGAGCUUAACUCUGGAACUGCCAUUGAAACUGCGGUGCUAGAAUCUCGGAGGGGGUAGCGGAAUUCCAAAUGUAGGGGUGAAAUCCGUAGAUAUUUGGAGGAACACCGGUGGCGAAGGCGGCUACCUGGACGAGUAUUGACACUGAGGCUCGAAAGCGUGGGGAUCAAACAGG
rnacentral:rRNA from 1 species